GAUGAACGCUGGCGGCGUGCCUAAUACAUGCAAGUCGAGCGAACAGACGAGAAGCUUGCUCCUCUGACUUUAGCGGCGGAGGGGUGAGUAACACGUGGAUAACCUACCUAUAAGACUGGGAUAACUUCGGAAAACCGGAGCUAAUACCGGAAAAAAUUUUGAACCGAAUGGUUCAACAGUGAAAGACGGUCUUGCUGUCACUUAUAGAUGGAUCCGCGCCGCAUUAGCUAGUUGGUAAGGUAACGGCUUACCAAGGCAACGAUGCGUAGCCGACCUGAGAGGGUGAUCGGCCACACUGGAACUGAGACACGGUCCAGACUCCUACGGGAGGCAGCAGUAGGGAAUCUUCCGCAAUGGGCGAAAGCCUGACGGAGCAACGCCGCGUGAGUGAAGAAGGUCUUCGGAUCGUAAAACUCUGUUAUUAGGGAAGAACAAAUGUGUAAGUAACUAUGCACGUCUUGACGGUACCUAAUCAGAAAGCCACGGCUAACUACGUG
rnacentral:rRNA from 1 species